AUCUCUUCUGUGAGCAGGGGCGCCGUACGGGGAAAAGUUAGGACAAUUCCAAGGGCCCAUGACUGACAGGGGCCCCAAAAAAUAGGU